GAUGAACGCUAGCGGGAGGCUUAACACAUGCAAGUCGAGGGGUAUAAGUAGCAAUACUUAGAGACCGGCGCACGGGUGAGUAACGCGUAUGCAACCUGCCCUUUACAGGGGGAUAGCCCGUAGAAAUGCGGAUUAAUACCCCAUAGUACUAUUAGAUCGCAUGGUUUGAUAGUUAAAGUUUCGGCGGUAAAGGAUGGGCAUGCGUGACAUUAGCUAGUUGGUGAGGUAACGGCUCACCAAGGCUACGAUGUCUAGGGGUUCUGAGAGGAAGAUCCCCCACACUGGUACUGAGACACGGACCAGACUCCUACGGGAGGCAG
rnacentral:rRNA from 1 species